rnacentral:tRNA from 1 species
UCUCUGGUAGUCCAGUGGUUAAGAGCCUGCGCUUCCAAUGCAGGGCAAGGUGCAGGUUCGAUCCCUGGUCAGGGAA